AAGAGGGACUCAGAUCACUUGGAAUUAUGACAAUGUAUUGCAGGGAUACCUUUGAAAAUGGGGUGUCACAAGAAGCUGAACUUUGCAUCCCAGUUCUGAAACAUACAGCAACCUCAGGGAGACAGAUGCAUCACUAGGCAUUUUGGGGUGGUAGCAAGUUCAGUGACCUGCCAGAUUUCUUAGCAUUAACUUGAAAGAGAAGACACUUAUUUUAUUUGAUUUGAUUUCUACUAGUCAAAUGGGCACCUGGAUUAAGCAGACUCUCCCCCAGGCACCCUAGAGGCCUCUGACAUCCCUUAUGUCCAGCCCAGACACGGCCUUUCUGUGGCCUCAGCAUAUCUGCCCAGUCCAAUCGGCUAUAGCCAGAAGAAAAAGGGAGGAAGAUCCAAGAGAGGGAAGGAGACUUUCCCAGGAAGCAGCAGCCUGCUACUUUCCUGCUAACCAGGGCAGACACUGGUCUGCAUCCCCCUAUCCAGGUGGCCCCUGCAGUCACGGCUUUUCUGCUUCUAGAAGCCAUCCCUGAGAACAUCAUGGCAGAACUCGAAACACAUUGCAUCAUACAAAAUGAAGUGGAGAAUUAAGGUAAUUAUCCAGUUAUUAAAAACCAUUUCUUAUUUGAAUAGCUAAA
rnacentral:lncRNA from 1 species